GCAACGCAUAUUUAAAAUGUUAAAUAAUUUUAUAUUAAAAAUGAAAAUAUUAUGUUGGUAAUGUCAACAUUUCAAAAUUAUUUUACUGGAGGCUCUUAUUUUUCUAACAACUUGAUAUUUUCCCAUCGUGUCACACUUGCGCUAGCAAUGAAAAACCUACGAUUCUCGAUAAUCAUUUCGGUGGACGCUUUUUUGUCGAUCUUAGCAUAGUUAGAAAUUCGUUUGGUUAUGCCGGUAUAUUUUAAUAAUUAUAUCGAUAUAUCAAAAAAUUCGUUGACUUGUGGUUAUUAUCAACUUUAUAAUCCAUACUUAUUUGUUAUCAUACCAUACACAUACCUUCGAAUUUUGAUGCAGUAGUCGCUUCCAUCUUUUUGUUCAUAAUUCAAAAAUGUCAAUGUAAAGAAAAUCUAAUGUAAAAAAUAAUUCAAUUAUAAAUGUUAUGCUAGGUUAUUUUGUGAUAAUUUGAUAAGAAUAUGAAACAGGGAAAUGAUCGCGAUGGAACAUUAAGAAAGGAAGGAAUUAUACCGGUAUAAAAUAUUUAACCCACGUCAGGAGGCGAGUCAGAAAAACUAUUCCGGUAUAAACUUAAAUCAUAUACUAUGGAUAGAGCAGCUGUUGACAAUAUUUGAAGAAAAC